GAAUCAAGGAGGAAGAAGCUUGACUUGAAGAUUUUGGACUUUCUAAAGCUUGGUUUUCAAGAUUUCUUCAAGAUUGAGAUUUGAGCUUGGAUUGAAGUGUGGAGAUAGGAGGAGAGGUGGUUGUCCUAGGGUUUGAAGAUUUGGGCAAGGUUGAUUGGGCUUGGAAGAGUUGUGGUGCUUGGCCAAAAAGAGGUGAUAUAGGUACUAGCGCUAGUGCUCCGACUACGGAUCAGCAAGGAGGAGCGUGACGCGGAUGGCCUAGACUUGUGGUGGUUUGUUGUUUUAUUUUGUGUGGUGUUGGUUAGUCUUUGGCUUAAUGAUAUAUUAGGAUAUAUACAA